rnacentral:ncRNA from 1 species
AUCACUGUAAAUGUUUGUACUAUUGACAUUUUUGCAUGUGAAUAGGGAGCUCAAGGGCGAAAAUCUUUUUCCCUCAAUAAAGUGACUUAAAGUGACUUAAAAUCAAAAAUGCUGUAAGAGGUAACAAUCUCACUUGGUAAUGAGUUCCAAGCUCGUACCACUCGUUUGCUGAAAAAAAACUUUCUAAUAAUCAAUCAAGUGCGUUCGCUAUUGACCAUACAGAUGAGUUGUGAAGGCAAAGUCGAAGAAAUCCUCAGAUCUCAGGGAGGAAUCAUGGUCCCGGAUAAUCCGGAAUGUGCAAAGCAGGCUUCACCAUUAGUGCUUGUAGGAAAGAGGAAAUAAAUUAAGCUUUUUUAAUCUGUCUUGCUACAGUAAAGUCUUAAAAUCCUCGACCAUGUUCGUUGGUCUCCGUUGCACCUGUUCGAGGAGGUCAAAAUCUUUCUUCCUCCCCGGUAUCCAGGCUGGUAUUCGGUUAUCUAAGUGCAGUCUUACGAAGAUGCCAUUUACUUUUCCGAAGAGAUCAGGGGAAAUAUUUAAAACGCACGUCUUAUCCAAUGCACUGUACAUGUUGCUUCCUGUACUGCUUUCUAAGAGUGUUCUAAGGCCAUCAAAUUCGCAGUUGUCCACUUACCCAGAUCUUUGUGUGUUUCUACCUCUUUUAAUGCAGUGCCAUUAAUUAAGUACUGGUAUUUUAGAAAUACUUUUUGACCAGCUCUUAUGUGUAUGAUAACGUAAUUGGAAACAUUAAACCGAAGCAGUCAACUAGCCAACCAGGCCUUUAGUUUGUCGAUAUUCGACUGUUUCCCUUUUGCGUCAUCAGCACAGCUGACUUCAGUCCAUAUUUUUAUGUCAUCUGUGAACGUGACAGCUUCACAUUCUAGGUCAUUGAGAGAGUCAUCAAGGUAGACAUGGAAGAGUUUGGGGCCCAAAACAGAACCCUAUGGAACACCACUUUCAACGUUCGCCAAUUCCGAGCAAGAGUUUCCGUGUUUCUUGGCGAUCCUUUUCAUCAACCGAUAUCCAGACUUUUAAGCAAAAGGUGUCAGAAAAGUUACCACAGGGAUACAUGGCUAGUGGCAGCCAAACGUUCAUAGGGACGUCGCUUUUUGAUCAUUCGAUGUAGGUUCUUCCUAUAAUGGUGAAGCAUAAUCGGGAACGUGAGCUGUGGUAAGACAGUCGUGAUACAGGUUAGUUUUACCCUUCUGAU